rnacentral:rRNA from 1 species
GACGAACCGUGCGAACGUUGUUCGGAAUCACUGGGCUUAAAGGGCGCGUAGGCGGGGCAAGCAAGUCAGGGGGUGAAAGCCCACGGCUCAACCGUGGAAGUGCCUUUGAUACUGCUGGUCUUGAGGGAGGUAGGGGCGUGCGGAACUUCCGGUGGAGCGGUGAAAUGCGUAGAUAUCGGAAGGAACACCGGUGGCGAAAGCGGCGCGCUGGAUCUCUCUGACGCUGAGGCGCGAAAGCCAGGGGA